rnacentral:lncRNA from 1 species
CUGACAGUUUGGCUUCCCUGUUCCAGGUGGCAAAGCCUGUGGGGUAUUCACCUACCUGCUGCAUGAAGGCAGCAUGGAGGGACUGUGGUGGAUUAUCUGCAAAGAUGGCCCAAAUUCUCUCAUCCCUGCAGGUACAUACAAGGUUGUUGCAUGGCAUAAGUAAAAUGACAGCUAUAGAAUAUGUGCAACUUUUCAGUGACAAAGACCUGUGAAGCAUUGACAGUACCACCUAAUGAGGUUUCACGAUAACUAAGUAUCACAACCAGUUUACAGACCAGAAAACUGAGACACAGGAAGGGUUGGUGACUUGAGCAAGGUGCAUCAGCUGGUUUCCAGAAGUUCCCUAGUCAUUGGGCAUUUCUGAGACUCUUGAUGCAUAUGCCAAGUAGUUAUGGAGAAAGACAUAGCCGCUUACCUCUGCAGGCAUCAUUGUGUGAAAGGAAGACCGAGGCUGUCUCACCACCCUUGAAGAGAAGCCUUUUGCUAAGGUGAUAGCUGCAUGUCCAAGCCUAUUGCGUGGCAUGGAUUUUGCCUUCUACAGCCCACUAAAGGAAAUUGAGGUGUACGGAAUGCUUAUUUGGUUGACUCAGUAUCAUCCUAAAUGUAUGAACUAAUGUUUAGGAGUUUGCAGUUCACCCGCAAACCUCAGCGAUCCAAGCUCCCCUGGAUGACCAUCACUCACCUAGAAAAGAACAAUAACAGGACCUGUUUUGCUAAUCCAGGACUGUUCUCCAGCACUAACUCUAAAUAAUCCCUUCUGUUAGAGUCCACUUUCUGGAACCUGUUGGAGAGGACAUCUUAUUCUUAUUGGAUCACGCACAGUGCCUGAAGCAUUCUGUUGCAUGUAGAAAGUAACAGAAAGAAACCGAGGGUCUGCUAUUUGUCUCCAGAGGCCUUACAAACUGGUAGAAGAUGCAUAAUAGAAGAGCUUAUGAAGUUAAAGAUG